GAAGCGUCAGAAGGCCUUCGGGUUGUAAAGCACUUUUGUCCGGAAAGAAAACUUCUGCCCUAAUACGGCGGGAGGAUGACGGUACCGGAAGAAUAAGCACCGGCUAACUACGUGCCAGCAGCCGCGGUAAUACGUAGGGUGCGAGCGUUAAUCGGAAUUACUGGGCGUAAAGCGUGCGCAGGCGGUUUGUUAAGACCGAUGUGAAAUCCCCGGGCUCAACCUGGGAACUGCAUUGGUGACUGGCAAGCUAGAGUAUGGCAGAGGGGGGUAGAAUUCCACGUGUAGCAGUGAAAUGCGUAGAGAUGUGGAGGAAUACCGAUGGCGAAGGCAGCCCCCUGGGCCAAUACUGACGCUCAUGCACGAG
rnacentral:rRNA from 1 species